GGGGGGGGGGGGGGGGGGGGGGGGGGGGGGGGGGGGGGGGGGGGGGGGGGGGGGGGGGGGGGGGGGGGGGGUGUCUCGUUGUGGUCCUAAAAACGGGGAGGGGUUUGGGGAGUGUCCUGUGGGUGUCUCGUUCUGGUCCUAAAAACGGGGAGGGGUUUCGGGAGUGUCCUGUCGGUGUCUUGCUCAGCCCUAAAAAUCGGGGGUCAGACUGAGAUCGGUGCAAAACGGAAUCCUAAAAACUGAGAAUCAGACACGGGGAAGGGUUUUUGGGGAGUGUCCUGUUGGUGUCUUGUUCCUGUCCUAAAAUUUGGGAGUCAGACUCGGGGAAGCACCUUGCUCUGGUCCUAAAAAUUGGGAAUCACACACGGGGAAGGGUUUUUGGGAGUGUCCUGUUGGUGUCCUGUUCUGGUCCUAAAAAUUGGGAGACAGACACGGUGCAAAACUGAGUCCUAAAAACUGAGAAUCAGACACGGGGAAGGGUUUUGGGGAGUUUCUCGGUUCUAAAAAGCGGGAGUCAAACACAGUUAAAGGAUUUUCUCCAGUCCUAAAAACUGGGAGUCGGACACAGUGAAGGGUUUUGGCAGAGUUUCCUGUGGAUGUGUUUCUCUGGUCCUAAAAAUUGGGAACCAGACACAGGGAAGGGACUUUCUCUGGUCCUAAAAAUUGGGGGUUUUUGGGAUUUUUCCUGUCACUGCCUUGCUCUGGUCCUAAAAAUUAGGAGUCACACAAGGUGGAGGGUUUUGGGGUGUUUCCUUCUGAUCCAUUUCUGCAGGAUCCCAUUUUUUCAGGGGAUGUACUACCUGAAUCCAUAUAAUAUGCACAAAACAAAUUUACACAAUAAAUAACAAACACAGAAAAGACCAAAAAACCCCAAAUAAAUAAAUAACAAAUAGAGAAAAGACCAAAACCCACCCUCAGAUACCAAAUUUUUUUAGGGGAUGUGUUACCUGGAGGAGGUGCACCCCAAUAUCUGAAUCCCAUUUUUAGGGGAUGUACUACCUGGAGGAGGUGCACCCCAAUUUCUGGAUCCCAUUUUUAGGGGAUGUGUUACCUGGAGCAGGUGCACCCCAAUACCUGGAUCCCAUUUUUAGGGGAUGUACUACCUGGAGGAGCACCGCAUGGUGCACAGGAACCUGGCUGCCCGCAACGUUCUGCUCAAGUCUCCCAGCCAGGUGCAGGUGGCCGAUUUUGGGAUCGCUGACCUGCUCUACCCCGAUGACAAAAAGUAUUUCUACAACGAGGUCAAGGUGGGGGCAUCCCCUAAAUGCCACCUGGGUCACCUGCUCUGCGCCCCUGGGGCCCCCCAGAUCCCAUCCCCGGUGUCCCCGUGUCCCCACCCCCUCUGUGUCACCCACCCUGAUCCCCCAGAUCCCAUCCCCAGUGUCCCCAGUGCCCAGAGAUGUCCCCACCCCCUCUGUGUCACCCACUCUGC
rnacentral:lncRNA from 12 species